CAGGCGUGAGUAACUGCAGAAGGUCUAGAUGCCGCUGAACAGUUGAGGGCACUGGAAGGAACACACCAGAAAUGUUCAUCCAUGCGAGAAACGGCUGCGGAGGUGGGUGAUGGAUUGGCUUGCAGCAAUCCACACAGUAAUGGUCAUGCAGAUAUAUAGAGAUGUGGUAUGCUCACAGGAACCAUGCCAAGGAAGAAGCAGCAAAUGGACACAUUGGCCAGGCUCGCAGAAACGUGGCCUGCAACUAGGCCCUGUGCCCGCUGUGCCCAAGAUAUCUGGCAGGCCACUGAAAUCAGCCAUUCUUCCUUCACCAGAGUCAUAAUCCUGGGGGAUUUGUAAGCCGUUUCUUGGCUUUAUUUGGCGAUGAGAAGACGUCGGAAGUGAUAAUUGAGGGAAGUCUUUUAUCGCCCAAAACUGGCACUGCAAAGGUGUUGUGAUGUCACUCAGAAAUUGCUGCGAUGAGUACAUCACUCACAUUCAUACCGUGCGUGCGAUGUUAACUGAAGAAAUCAACACCCUGCGGUUGGUUGGCGCCGAACCGGGCGGGAUCAUCUCGGCCGUCCAAUCUUCAUCUAACGGCAACUUACCGCUUCGCCCGGAGUUACAAGAAGACUGGAGCUGUUGAAUUUACCUGCUUUACUUUAGCGAUAAAAAAAUAAAGUUACCUUUGGUUGGCUGUAAUGGGUAUAAAACCCCGGAUCUACCUGAGAGCCCUGGACGCCGUUGCGUGCCGGAUGUGCCUUGUUCGUGGCUGGAGAACGCCAGCCCUGGGGCCCAUGCCCACUGUGCUAAUCCAUACACACCUGCUUCUGGGCCAUAGUUAAAUUUGUUGUUUGUUGAGCAUUGUAAUGU